AUACUUACCUGGCGUAGGGGAUACCGUGAUCAAGAAGGCGGUUCCCCCAGGGCGAGGUCCAUCCAUUGCACUGCGGAUGGGUUGACCCCUGCGAUUAUCCCUAAUGUGGAUAACUCGGACGCGUAAUUUUUGGUAGUGAGGGGGACUGCGUUCGCGCUGUCCCUCU
rnacentral:snRNA from 1 species